ACUUAAGGAUUUCUGGGUUCAUUUGACUACAUGCAAAGAGAAGGGUUGUCUCUUCAUGGGACAGAUUUUAUUUCACUUUGAUCAGAAAUAGCAGUCACCAAGGUUUGCUCAGACUUCUGUAUCUAAAGAAGAAAGUGCAUGAAGAAAGCAGAUAAGCGUUCUAUUCUACAGAAUGGCAUGAUUACUGUUAGAAGCUUCAACAUGGGGCUUAUUGGUGACUUCUCUGAAUUCUUGUACAGUUUAGUUAUUCCAUGGGACUCCUACAGAAGAUCACGUGCAUCAGAGAAAGCUUGCAGCAUCCAUCAGUGUGGAAUGGAUGGUACACGUGACCAUAUGGAGGCUCUCUGCAUAGAGGGGAGGAUGAGCAGUUUCUGUCCCGCAGGGAAACUUCUCCUGACACAGUUGCAGCACAUAAUUGUCUUACAUCCUAAUGCUGAAAAUAAACCAAGAAAAGAAAUGGUAUCAAUAGCUGAAUAAUUUUAAACAAAAACAUUAGUAAGAUUUGAAAAUGAAGCUGUCAGGACAGAUGCUUUUCCAUCAGUGUGAGCUACGUGCUGAGCACUGACCGUGUAUUUCUGCAGUUCCUAAGAUCUGAAAAUUUUGUCACUGAUUGAGUGCUUGUAAGUUUUAUAGAGAACACUGAACGAGGCUUUGAGACUGCUUCAUUUGCACAUAAGUAGAAAAGGAAAGCUAAAAAUGCAGAUUUGCUUUAAAAUUCAGGCCUUGGGACAAACAGGUUGAGCAGUGUGGCAUCUUUUCUUGCCCUUGCGAAAUGUGGGGACAUGGCUUUAAACUUGUUCCCUCUGAUCAGUUCAGCUUUUCUUUUAGAUCCAUGUGAUUGUCCUUCCAUUUGAUCUUGUGUGUGGUUUUGCUUCUGUUUUUAAGACGUGCCCUGUUCAUCACCAACACAUUGGUUGUUCUUGUUUUGGCUCCUAAUUGGAUCUGUGGUAAUCAAAGUAAUAUUUAUUCUAGAAUGUUACUGGGUUCAGAUUUGUCUGUCAAGUCAGCGUACUGUUGUUUUGUAAGAAGUGGAUUUCCAUUUUGUUCUCACCUGAGUGUGUUUAACUUCCAUUGCCUUUAAAGAGGGUCAUGCAGGGUAGUCAAAGGACAAAACAAGCGUUGCACAAACAAACUAGAUAAUGAGAGUGGAGUUUCUGAAGAUGAUAUUGUGCCAUUCUGAAUAUGUCCUUGGGUGUUUCAGAAUGCUUAGAUAGCAGCAGCCGCCAGGAAUGCUUUUAUCAUCUGUGUUUGCUCAAGAGUCUGCAACCUUUCCUUUCAGAUGCUGUCCUUACACAGCUUUCUGUGCCUCUGUCACCUCUGGAGUAGAUUAGUGUAGUAUGUGCUAUCUUGAGUGAUGCACUGCAAUCACUGGAGACUUUGGCUUCUGUGGAACGUGGCUGCUGUCUUAUUUAAAGAGAUUGAUUCAAGUGUUCAAAGUCCUGAACAGUCUGAAUCCAGCAUGAAUUUGAAAUCAUCUGUCUGGAGGACUUCAAACUGCAGAAGGUGAUGUAACUGCAAGAGCACAGGAUUAUAGCCUCACCCUUCCCUUCUCUGGACCUCGAGGGAGUUAGAUACAAGAGUUAGGGCUCCUUGACCUCAUUGGCAUGUGUUUAGCUUGCAUCUUUUACAUAUUUGAGCUUUGAUCACAGCACAUUUUUCUAUUCUCAUAGGUUCUCCUGAAGAGUUUAUUGAUUUAUGUAGGAAAGAUUGAGGAGCUUUUACUGAUGAAACUCUGCAAAGAGUUUCAUUUGGGCCUUUGUAGCAGAGUUUUAUAGGUCAUGUCUGCUGGUUUGCGAGGAUGGCUGUCAAGAAAACAAGUAUGAAAUUGUGGUCAAAUCUUUUGUCUUGUACUGCAAACCCACAUGCCUUUGUUCCCCUUUUGUUACUUUUAAAUGUAAAUCCACAUUUGACUUCAGCUUUGUAUCAUAAAUCUAUUUAAUUUAGGGGUUUCUGUAUAUGUACAAAUAUAUGUAAUCUGGUAUCUUUG
rnacentral:lncRNA from 7 species